CUUAAACAUACACACACUCUUAUGUAAUCAACACACAAGUUAUUUAUUACUUAUGAAUUCAGAGUCCUAUGUUGCUUCUUAUAGAUACCUUCCUCCAAGUCAUUAUGAAAGAAAACAACAUCCAAUCUAAAUUACUCAAUCUAUAUGUUCAAGCUUUAUUCCAAUUAGAAACUCUCUUUAAAGAUAUUACCCUUUUUCUCUGAUUAAAUUCUUUAACCACCAAUAUUGUCUUACAACUUAUAUGAGAUUUAUUCUCUUCAUAUUUUAUCUUGCUUAUUCAUUUGUUCUUGAGUGGGUUUUUUUCUUAGACAAUUUCACCAUCUUAAUGUGCGAUUCUCAUGCAAGUUUGUUGUAGGCAUUUUCUAGAGAUGGAUUCAGACAAAAUGAAGACCUUUCAAAUAAGGGCACAAUUACCUGACAUGCAAAGUCUGAAGAUUCUCAAAGAAAGACUACCCGAUACCAUUCAAAGGAAGUUCUCCCUCCUAUAUGGAAAGAUUCUUGACCUCCUGAAACUCCCAGUGCAAGUAGAGGUCAUCACUUCCCUUGCUCAGUGAUAUCGUGUUGAAAGAGUUCAAGGCUCACCUGGAUGUAACCAUUAGGGCACAACUUUAGUUUCUCUUCAAAAGCUUUUAAAUUUUGUAUUAUUUCCCUUUAUCAAUAAAUGAAUAAGAAUUCUUUGUUCUUUGUGCCAA